AUUAAAGGAAAUAAGAGCGCACAGUGGAUGCCUAGGCACCAAGAGCURAUGAAGGACCGC
rnacentral:rRNA from 1 species